AACAGGAUUAGAUACCCGGGUAGUCCACGCCCUAAACGAUGUCAACUAGUUGUUGGGUCUUCAUUGACUUAGUAACGUAGCUAACGCGUGAAGUUGACCGCCUGGGGAGUACGGUCGCAAGAUUAAAACUCAAAGGAAUUGACGGGGACCCGCACAAGCGGUGGAUGAUGUGGAUUAAUUCGAUGCAACGCGAAAAACCUUACCUACCCUUGACAUGGUCGGAACCCUGCUGAAAGGUGGGGGUGCUCGAAAGAGAACCGAUACACAGGUGCUGCAUGGCCGUCGUCAGCUCGUGUCGUGAGAUGUUGGGUUGAGUCCCGCAACGAGCGCAACCCUUGUCCUUAGUUGCUACGCAAGAGCACUCUAAGGAGACUGCCGGUGACAAACCGGAGGAAGGUGGGGAUGACGUCAAGUCCUCAUGGCCCUUAUGGGUAGGGCUUCACACGUCAUACAAUGGUCGGAACAGAGGGCUGCCAACCCGUGAGGGGGAGCUAAUCCCAGAAAACCGAUCGUAGUCCGGAUCGUAGUCUGCAACUCGACUACGUGAAGCUGGAAUCGCUAGUAAUCGCGGAUCAGCAUGCCGCGGUGAAUACGUUCCCGGGUCUUGUACACACCGCCCGUCACACCAUGGGAGUGGGUUUUACCAGAAGUGGCUAGUCUAACCGCAAGGAGGACGGUCACCACGGUAGGAUUCAUGACUGGGGUGAAGUCGUAACAAGGUAGCCGUAA
rnacentral:rRNA from 1 species